rnacentral:ribozyme from 1 species
AAGAAGAAAGAAAAGCAAAAAAGAAAAAAGAGACGAACAAACACAACAAAGUUCGUUCGAAGCAAAGACCUCUUUCUUGUUUCUUCUUCUUCUUCUUCUUCACUUUUCUUUCAGAUAA